rnacentral:ncRNA from 2 species
CAAAACAAAAGAGGUCGCAACUGACAUUAGUAAAUAAGGGAGUCACUGCAUGGCAUUGAACUUAUUGAAAGGGGACGUUGCCGAAGCGUCGGAUCUGCAGAGUCCGAUGUGCUGGGACGUGUUAAUAAGAUGACACGAACUGUCGCAGCAAAAUGUCGCUGCGGUGCGCUUAGACAAUU